rnacentral:tRNA from 1 species
GUCUCUGUGGCACAGUUGUUAGAGCAUUAGGCUAUAGAGUGAAAGGUUGGUGGUUCAAGCCCAGCCAAAGAUG